CUUUAUCAUGUAAACUAGUUCCAUGAAUUAUUCCCAAUCUUCUUCUUUAACGAGAUUCAUUGUUGUUACAAGUUCCUUAAUACUCUGUUCUUCAUUUGUUCAUUUCUGUCUUCUGUCAUCUAACCUGUAUUGAGAAUGUUCUGUAAUAUGGGUUUCUUCGAUUUCAAGUAGCUUUACUCUUCGUCUCUAUUCCCAUAAUUGGGUUUUAAUCUCAUCUUCUUCUCGUUCUCGGAGAGUGUUUUAACAAAAAAAAAAAACAGAGGAACUUAAAAACAGAGCAAGUUCACACAGAGAGAAGAUAGCCACCAUGGAAGAGACUUUCGUUCCGUUUGAAGGUAUCAAGAAUGAUCUUAAAGGAAGACUAAGAUGCUACAAAAAAGACUGGACCGGAGGAUUCAAAGCUGGCUUCAGGUAACAAAGUUACUCUGUUUUUUUAUGAAGCAACUUUAAUACAGAGUACUCUGUUUUCAUGAUUCAAACUUCUCUGUUUUUUUUUUUUAUGAAACUUUGUAGGAUUCUUGCUCCCACCACAUACAUAUUCUUCGCGUCGGCGAUUCCUGUCAUCUCAUUCGGCGAACAACUUGAGAGAAGCACUGGUACAGAACCACCUUCCUCUGUUUUUUAAAAAGUUGUGAGCUUUAUGAACUUUAUUUGCGUGUGUUUGCAGAUGGAGUUCUCACAGCUGUUCAGACGCUGGCAUCUACAGCCAUUUGCGGAAUCAUUCACUCUAUUAUCGGAGGCCAGCCUCUGCUGAUACUCGGAGUCGCAGAGCCAACUGUGAUCAUGUACACAUUCAUGUUCAACUUUGCCAAAGGGAGACCUGAACUGGGACGCAACUUGUUCUUGGCUUGGUCUGGAUGGUAAAAACUCUCUCUCUUCUACUUUCAUUGUUAAAUGUUUUAAAGUAUCAACAAGGUGUUAAGGUAGUUAAACUAUGUGCAGGGUUUGUGUGUGGACCUCGUUGAUUCUGUUUGUGCUGGCUAUAUGUGGAGCUUGUUCAAUCAUCAACAGAUUCACAAGAGUAGCUGGAGAGUUGUUUGGACUUCUUAUAGCUAUGCUCUUCAUGCAAGAAGCCAUCAAAGUAACAAAGCCAACAACUUUGUGUUUUUUUUUUUGUUGUCUCUAAUGUUUUUAAUUAUAUAUAUUCAGGGACUAGUUGAUGAGUUUCGAUCUCCUGAGAGGGAAGAUCUGAAGCUUCUUGAGUUCUUACCUUCAUGGAGAUUUGCUAAUGGGAUGUUUGCUUUGGUUCUCUCCUUUGGUCUUCUUAUAACUGCACUAAGAAGCAGAAAAGCUAGAUCCUGGAGAUAUGGAACAGGUAUUGAAGUAUAUAGAUAGUCAACUCUCUUUUUUUUUUAUAUAAUGAGCUGGAAUCUCCUUAUUCUAGGGAUCUUGACCAAUCAUAAUCAAAUUUUACUUGCUCUUGAAGAAACUUAGUUUUUUUUUUAACACCAAAGACGUACAUCGCAAUUUGCUCAGCUGAAACAACUUUGCCACUUUCUUGCCAUCCACACAAUACACUCACCCUUUUCCACCAUUAUUGCUUCCCCUUUACUUCCCCUCAAAAACACUUUAUCAUGUAAACUAGUUCCAUGAAUCAUUCCCAAUCUUCUUCUUCAACGAGAUUCAUUGUUGUUACAAGUCGCUUAAUACUCUGUUCUUCAUUUGUUCAUUUCUGUCUUCUGUCAUCUAACCUGUAUUGAGAAUGUUCUGUAAUAUGGGUUUCUUCGAUUUCAAAUAGCUUCACUCUUCGUCUCUAUUCCCGUAAUUGGGUUUUAAUCUCAUCUUCUUCUCGUUCUCGGAGAGUGUUUUAACAAAA
rnacentral:lncRNA from 1 species